AAAGUCGUAACAAGGUUUCCGUAGGUGAACCUGCGGAAGGAUCAUUAGUGAAAAUAGGGUAACUCUGCAAAGAGAAGCCCGAAAAUACACUUAUUUUCAUACACCUGUGCAUUUGAAACACUUUUUAACACUUGUGUUAACACAAAGUCAUUUGAUUAUAUAAAACGAAAGUAAAACUUUCAGCAAUGGAUCUCUUGGCUCUC
rnacentral:misc_RNA from 1 species